CCGCCGUGCCCCAAUCUUUCUGCAUACAAUUCUUGGGUUUAACCACGGUGAGAGCUGUCCCCCAGCAAUGCUGUCAAAACCAAGAAAGAAAAAGGACAAAGAGCAGCUGUGUCUGCGGAGGCAGGGUUGAGAUCUGCUCCCAGACGUGCUU